rnacentral:rRNA from 1 species
AUACGUAGGUGGCAAGCGUUGUCCGGAUUUACUGGGUGUAAAGGGCGCGUAGGCGGGAUGGCAAGUCAGAUGUGAAAUCUCCGGGCUCAACCCGGAAACUGCAUUUGAAACUGCCGUUCUUGAGUAUCGGAGAGGCAAGCGGAAUUCCUAGUGUAGCGGUGAAAUGCGUAGAUAUUAGGAGGAACACCAGUGGCGCAGGCGGCGUGCGGGACGACACCUGGCGCUGGGGCGCGAAAGGGUGGGGAGAAAACAGGAUUAGAUGCCCUGGUAGUCCACGCCGUAAACGAAGAAGACUAGGUGGUGGGGGACUGACCCCCUCCGUGCCGCAGUUAACACAAUAAGUAUUCCACCUGGGGAGUACGGCCGCAAGGUUGAAACUCAAAUGAAUAGACGGGG